rnacentral:rRNA from 1 species
AAUGAACGCUGGCGGCAGGCCUAACACAUGCAAGUCGAGCGAGGUAGCAAUACCUAGCGGCGGACGGGUGAGUAACGCGUGGGAACGUACCCUUUGCUUCGGAAUAGCCCCUGGAAACGGGGAGUAAUACCGCAUGAGCCCUACGGGGGAAAGAUUUAUCGGCAAAGGAUCGGCCCGCGUUGGAUUAGGUAGUUGGUGGGGUAAUGGCCUACCAAGCCGACGAUCCAUAGCUGGUUUGAGAGGAUGAUCAGCCACACUGGGACUGAGACACGGCCCAGACUCCUACGGGAGGCAGCAGUGGGGAAUCUUAGACAAUGGGCGCAAGCCUGAUCUAGCCAUGCCGCGUGAUCGAUGAAGGCCUUAGGGUUGUAAAGAUCUUUCGUGGGGGAAGAUAAUGACGGU